CAGAACACCUUAGAGGAAACGUUUUGAAUGUUGCUUUUUCUAGAUAAGCACUUUUCAGUAUUAUCCCAGCCCAUCGUAUACUUCUGGUGACAACGUUGAUGUAGCUUUUACCAUACAUUAAUUUCCAUUUCUGUGAAUGCAACUAUGUACAGAAUAGGAACAGUUCCUUUAAGAGUCACGGAUAAAUCUGUCUAAAGAUGAAGUUUUCCAAGUGACAAAGAAAACAUGUGAAAAGAACCACAACCAAAAUGGCAGUAGCAACCGCACUAAACGGUGACUAUAAAGACAUUCAGAACAGCUGUGAGUUUGUUGAAUUGAACAAUGCUUCAAAACAUAUUUGCCUUGCAGGAGUUUAUGUAACAAACAAUGUUAAGGGUUUUGAAAGAUGUAGUGGUAGUGUUGUAAAAAGCAAAACCCAUAAAUUGUUUCCUCUAAAGGAUGUUU